AUUGAACGCUGGCGGCAGGCCUAACACAUGCAAGUCGAGCGGAUGAAGGGAGCUUGCUCCUGGAUUCAGCGGCGGACGGGUGAGUAAUGCCUAGGAAUCUGCCUGGUAGUGGGGGAUAACGUCCGGAAACGGGCGCUAAUACCGCAUACGUCCUGAGGGAGAAAGUGGGGGAUCUUCGGACCUCACGCUAUCAGAUGAGCCUAGGUCGGAUUAGCUAGUUGGUGGGGUAAAGGCCUACCAAGGCGACGAUCCGUAACUGGUCUGAGAGGAUGAUCAGUCACACUGGAACUGAGACACGGUCCAGACUCCGAGGGGAGGCAGCAGUGGGGAAUAUUGGACAAUGGGCGAAAGCCUGAUCCAGCCAUGCCGCGUGUGUGAAGAAGGUCUUCGGAUUGUAAAGCACUUUAAGUUGGGAGGAAGGGCAGUAAGUUAAUACCUUGCUGUUUUGACGUUACCAACAGAAUAAGCACCGGCUAACUUCGU
rnacentral:rRNA from 1 species